rnacentral:rRNA from 1 species
GACGAACCGUGCAAACGUUAUUCGGAAUCACUGGGCUUAAAGGGCGCGUAGGCGGGUCACCAAGUCCGGGGUGAAAUCCCACGGCCCAACCGUGGAAGUGCCUUGGAUACUGAUGACCUCGAGGGGGUAGGGGCGUGCGGAACUCGAGGGUGAGAGCGGUGAAAUGCGUAGAUAUCCUGAGGAACACCGGUGGCGAAAGGCGGCU